rnacentral:misc_RNA from 1 species
UGAUAUAAUAGCAAGUUCAGGCCAG